UUUACUAUUUUCUAACCCCCAAAUUAGAAACUUUCAAUCCCUAACCCCACGACCCUCUCAAGUCACGAGUCACCACUCACGAACGGCCUCGUUGGACCUCAGGCGACCGGUUAGGCGAGCAUUCUUCACUGGUUCGAUGCUUCCAUCUCAUAGUCAUCGUCCCUCACCAUCACUCGCCAAGCAGUUAUUAGCGAGAGGCCCAAACCGGUUGGUGGAAACUCUUAUUUGUACUCAAGAUUGGAUCUGUGCUCCUCAUGAACUCAUCCUUAUAGAAUAUGAAAGAAAAAAUGAAAUAUUUGACUUCGGAGCAACACACAAUUAUCAUUGAUGAGACGAACGAAGUUUCGGAGCAAUGAAAUAUAUCUCUUUAGUUG